rnacentral:lncRNA from 1 species
NNNNNNNNNNNNNNNNNNNCCGCCGCCUCCCGUCGGGUCUGCCUCUGUCGAGUCCCUGCCACCGCCUGGCCCCAGAGGGCUACUCCCAGCCCGGUCCCCUGUGUUGUCAGCGGGCCCCAGGGUGCUGCCCCGCAGCGGGCCGCCUCGAGCCCGGUCUCCACAGCCGUCCGUCCCGGAGCCAUCCCCUGCCCAGUCCCUGCCGCUGCUCUCAGCCCCAGAGAUGCCGCCCCUCUCGCAGUCCCGGUCCCUGCAGACUCUCACUGCCGGACACAACUCGUCCCCAUCACUGCUUUUAUCAGGCCCGGAUGCACUCCCCCUGCCCCUGUCCAGGUCCCUUCAGACGCUUUCCACCAGGCUCCCCCCAUCCUCACGAGAGGGGCCCAAGGUAUGGACCCCCAACAGCCCAGUGCGACCUCGAGCCACACUGCUGCAUGCUGCAGGGCCCCCCUCACCUCCAGCCCUGCCACAGCCAGCAGGCCCCGGGGGGCAGCCCCUCUGCUCCCAGCCCCUUCCUGCCAGUCCACUCCUGUCCCGGUCUGUGCUGCCAGCAUCAGACCCCCAGGGGCCUCCAGCUAGCACCCCCCCAGCCCCAAUACCUGUUUUCCGCAGCAUCAGGUGCCAACUUGCUGUGCUGGAGGUGUCUGAUGACAAAGGGAGACCUCUCCGUGCAGUGCCCCAGAGGAGCUUAUCUGCACAUGUCCCAAGCCGGGGGCCGACGGUGCCACUGGGUCGGCGGGCGCACGCUUGGCUGGUGGCGGUGUCAGCAGGGCGCUGGGCCCAAGUGCGGGGACUUUUCCUGGAGGAGCCAGAGCUGGCCCUGCAGCGGGAUUUCGUGUCGGGCUUCACGGUGCGGCACUGGCUGGCCAAGCAUGGUGAUGGGGCAGGCCUGCAGGAGCUGGCCAAAGCAGCACGCCAGGCUGGGCUGGCAUUGGACGUGGAUGCUCGAUCUGGCUGCGGGUACACUCCAUUGCACCUGGCUGCCAUACAUGGUCACACGCUUGUCAUCAAGGUGUUGGUGCUGCAGCUGGGCUGCCAGGUACAGGUGCGGGAUGGCAGCGGGCGCCGGCCCUGGGAGUACCUGGGCAGCAGCACCUCCGGGGAGAUCUGGCAGCUCCUGCAGGCACCCCGGGGCACGAUUAUGUUCCCCACGCAGCCCCUGGCCCGUAGUGUGUCCUCAGCCAGCAAGGCUCUGCCGUCUGCAGGCCGGGCACCGCUGGCUGCGUGCCUUAAACCACAGCGCGGCCGCCGGGCAGCAUCCCACCAAGCUGGCAGUGAGAGCGACUGACGGACAGCAGCACGCACCCCCUGCACAGGAGACUGGAUCCAAGAGGAAGGCAGGUGGGCAGGAAAAGCUACAAACCCAACUGAACUUCUUGAGGAGUGUAUUGUUAAAUUAUUGCAAUGAAACACUGUCUGAGUCUCUUUGCUCUCCCUUCAAUUUCUUGCUUUUCUGAGAGCAAAAUGAUGCAGCUCCUUG